GCAGACACAUUCCAGCCAAUCAGCAGCAGACCCUCCCUCCCAGACCUUCCCACCUCCUGGACAGCAUCCAUUUUGAAGCUGCAUUCUUAGUGAGCUGUCCAGGAGGUGGGAGGGUCUGGGAGGGAGGGUCUGCUGCUGAUUGGCUGGAAUGUGUCUG